AGUAUUAAAAUUUUCUUCCACGUAUGUCUGAAUUUUGCGGUGCAGAUGUUGAAAAGUAAUCAUUCACAUCAAUCAACGCUCCGACUGUCUAUGACCAGGACUGAACGGACAGCUUGCAGUUACUUGCAUAAUAAUGAGUAGCAAAUAUUCUUCAAUUAACACAUCUACCGGAGCAAAUCAUUGAUUUCUACAGGGCUUUACUAAAGACAAUUCUCUGCCGUUGUCUGGGCAUAGCAUUUCCAGAGGCAUCUGAAUGUUAAGAUCUGGUUGAGAAAAAAAAGAAGAAUUUUACCGCUGAAAGAGAAAAGGGCGUGGGAAACUGUAUUGACUUGAUUGGUGAAGUCUUGUCUCUGCCUCACAUCGAUAUGCAAUCUCAAAUGAAGACACCCAUUUCAGUGUUCAGUCCAAAUGUAUAGCUGCCUUCUACUGUUUUGGUUAAUGAUGAAUAGAGAGAGCUCAUUGAGCUGGUGGCAUUGAUGCUGGGAAUCCAGCAUUGCUCAAAGAUCUGUGGUUGAAAUGGCCUUUGAGAAGUUGAGCUCCAAGCCUGAUGGAUUUCAACGCAGAGGACAAGCAUGGUUCUGCACAACUGGACUGCCGAGUGACAUUAUAAUAGAGGUGGAGGAAAUGUCAUUCCAUCUACAUAAGUUUCCCUUAAUGUCAAGAUGUGGAAAAUUAUCACGAUUAAUCCCUGAAACACCAGACGACGACGAGGAAGGAAGUUGCCGUAUCACUCUCCUGGACCUUCCUGGUGGGGCCGAUGCAUUUGAGCUUGCUGCGAAAUUCUGCUAUGGUGUCAAACUGGAAUUCACGCCCUUCAAUUUAACUCCCCUUCGCUGCGCUGCAGAGUAUCUGGAAAUGACAGAAGAGUUUGGGGAGGGGAAUCUCAUAUCAAAAACUGACGAUUUCCUCAAUCAUGUAGUGCUUAGAAGCUGGAAGGAUUCAGUCCAGACUUUACAAAGCUGUGAGUCCUUAAUGCCACUUGCUGAAGAACUUAAUAUUGUGAAGAAAUGUGUUGAUUCGAUUGCCAUGAAGGCUUGCACUGAUCCCAGACUCUUCGGUUGGCCAAUGACCGAGGGAGCGGGGACGCAAGGGAUACAGAGUCCUGGAGGAAAUGUUCUUUGGAACGGAAUUAAUACAGGGCAAAGGCCAAGAACAGCAGGUUCAGAUUGGUGGUAUGAAGAUAUUGCUGUGCUGAGCUUAAACUUUUAUAAGAGAGUAAUAUCUGCAAUGGAAGAAAAAGAAAUCAGACAAGAAAGCAUCACAGGAGCUGUAAUGUACUAUGCAAAGAAAUUCAUUCCCGGGCUAACACGCCGAGGUAUAGCUACAUCAAUUAACGUAAAUUCUGCUCCUUCUGAGGUUGAUCAGAGAGAAUUUCUAGAAACAAUAGAAAGCCUUCUUCCCGAAAGUAGGGUUGGUAAUACAACAAAUUUUCUAUUUGGAUUGCUGAGGACAGCUAAUAUACUAGAUGCUUCUGAUUCAUGUAAGAUAAAUCUUGAGAGAAGAAUUGGGUUGCAGCUGGAACAGGCCACUCUGGAUGAUCUCCUCAUGCCAAGCUAUUCUUACACUGUGGAAACUCUAUAUGAUAUUGACUGUGUACAGAGGAUUUUGCAAUAUUUCUUAUCGAGUCACCAUGGUACAGAAUCCGCCGUGGCUAACCCACAUGGAUAUGAAGAUGGUGGCUUUAUGGGAUCACCCUCAUUGACACCAAUCAUGAUUGUUGGGAAACUUAUAGAUGGUUAUUUGGCUGAGGUUGCUCCUGAUGGGAAUCUUAAACCAACUAAAUUUCAGAUGUUAGCUGAAGCUCUGCCAGAUUAUGCAAGGGUUUUUGAUGAUGGAUUGUACAGAGCUAUUGAUGUGUACUUGAAGGCACAUCCUUGGGUGACUUUGGAAGAGCGAGAGAAGAUCUGCAGUAUCAUGGAUUGCCAGAAGCUCACGCUUGAAGCCUGCACUCAUGCUGCCCAAAAUGAACGUCUUCCCUUGCGUGUUGUUGUACAAGUGCUGUUCUUUGAGCAACUCCAGUUGAGAAAUGCAAUCGCUGGUUCUUUUCUGGCAGCAGAUGGCGCUGAUCCAGCCCAUACUUCACAUCUCAAUCCUAUCACAGACCUGGCAUUGUCAAGUACAAUAGUGGGUGGGGACAGAUGGAACAACACUAUACGAGAGAAUCAAGUACUUAAAAUGGAUAUAGAUACCAUGAGAUCACGUGUGCAUGAACUGGAAAGAGUGUGCUCACAUAUGAGGCAUGCAAUAGAACAAAUUGACAAACCUAAAGUAGGGAAUAGCAAAACGACCGGCAGCAGUUGGAACUUCAUGUCAAAGAAAUUUGGAUGCAAGUUUAGGAUGCAAGUUUGUGAUUCUCAGCAAAGAAAAGUAAUGGAUGGAAGAAGUAGGGACAGGAGCAAUACUGAUGCAGGAAGAAGCGCUAGGCAUAGAGACAGUUCAUCUCUUGGAUAAGGCAUGUUCUGAAGAAACUAAUUGGCCAUUUACUUUCUCGAUUCAAGGACCUGUGGACCGAAUAGGUCACCAGAGACGCGUAGGACACAACAAAGGAGAAAGGGGGUACUUUGUUCAAUGUGGUUUAUUGGUACUUGUGUUGGCUAUGAGCAAGAACCCAUCAUCGACAUCAAAGAGUGUUGGCUAAGGUGAUUGACGCAUCAAACAAACACAAGUAACAUAGGCAUUGAUGAUAAUUAAACUGAGAGAGAGCGACCUUGAUUUUGAGAGCCACAUUUGAAAAGAGAAGCAUCAAAGGCAAAGGCUAUUAAAGGAACAAAUCACAACAACAAGAUAUUGGAUUGGUCAUUGAGUUGACAAAAAAUGUUGGUCUACAUGUAGGCCAAGUGAAUACGAUGGAGAACCCAAAUUUGACAACUAGAAAGGAAGACAACAAAUAUAACCAAGAGAGAAUUAGAAUGAAGUCCAACAUCUAAUAAUUUUGGAUUUAUAUGACGAAAUGAAAUGAUGACUACAUCAAGAUAGAUCCAAGGUGGAUGACACAAAACUAAUGAGCAGCAAAAUCAAAUCAAAUCAAAGGAAAGAGAGACAUGUCUACGAAAUAGUCAAAGAGAACACAAUUAAAUAAAGUCAAAAUUGAUGUGCAAGGUUUAGCUUAACAAUUAUGUACUUUAUGGCAAUUUCCUUAGCAUUCUCUAGUUUGAAAUCUAUUCCAACAUUGGAGUAAA